AGUGCUAAAUUUAGCAAAUUUAUUUAUCAAUCAUAAAAUCAUUUACCGUUCACUUACCGUAGUGGAAUUUAUGAAAACAACCUAUGUAGAUAAUAAUAUCAUACGGAUCAUAAUUUCAUGUAGGAUCGGCAACAUAGCACAUGUCAUAAAUCUAUACGCAUCGUCAAAUAACCAAACAAUAACUGUCAUAUUUUCACCAGCCUACUACUAUCCAUGGGGGUUCAUAUGGAUGUCCCCAC
rnacentral:lncRNA from 1 species